rnacentral:rRNA from 1 species
UUGAAAGGGAAACGAUUGAAGUCAGUCGUACCUGCGGGAUAAUCAGUCUUUCGGGUGCGAUUAUGUGGAGCGUGGGGAGCUAAACACCUUCAUGCCUGCGUAUUUGUAUUCUAGGGUGUACUUGGACGUGCGGUAGGUUAACAUCAAUUUUGGUCGUUAUAAAAUGACUAGGGGAAUGUAGCUUUGAUCCCGUAUUGAAGUGUUAUAGCCUCUGGUAAAUGCAGUGACUAGGAUUGAGGAUUGCAACGGAUGCUUUCGGGGCUACUCGUCUGAUCUCUGGAAGUUACUUUGGUGCUAAAAGCUUGCUUAUGGUUAUCGAAGUUGACGGUCAAUAGGUUAGAACGAGUUAAAUUCGUUAAGGAUGUUGACGUA